UAUUGCCAAGCCCAGACCACGCUGCUGUUCAUCGUGCACUAGCGGUCCCAAGAGGUUCAAAGUCCACCAAGAUGGCAACCCUCAAGAACCAGCUGAUUGUGAAUCUACUUAAGGAAGAACAAGCCCCCCAGAACAAGAUUACGGUUGUUGAGGUUGGUGCUGUUGGCAUGGCUUGUGCCAUCAGUAUCCUAAUGAAGGACUUGGCCGAUGAGCUUGCCCUUGUUGAUGUCAUGGAAGACAAGCUGAAAGGAGAGAUGAUGGAUCUCCAGCACGGCAGCCUUUUCCUCAGAACACCAAAAAUUGUCUCUGGCAAAGUUGAUAUCUUGACCUACGUGGCCUGGAAGAUAAGUGGCUUCCCCAAAAACCGAGUUAUUGGGAGUGGUUGCAAUCUGGAUUCAGCUCGGUUCCGUUACCUGAUGGGAGAAAGGCUGGGCAUUCACCCGCUAAGUUGUCAUGGAUGGGCCCUAGGGGAGCAUGGAGACUCCAGUGUGCCUGUGUGGAGUGGUAUGAAUGUUGCUGGUGUCUCCCUGAAGAAUCUGAACCCAGAACUGGGCAGCGAUGCAGACAAGGAGUAGUGGAAGGAGGUUCACAAGCAGGUGGUUGACAGCGCCUAUGAGGUGAUUAAACUCAAAGGAUAUACAUCCUGGGCCAUUGGCCUCUUGGUGACUGACCUGGCUGAGAGUAUGAUGAAGAAUCUUAGGCGGGUGCAUCCCAUUUCUGCCAUGAUUUAGGGUCCCUAUGGAAUCAAGGAUGAUGCCUUCCUCAGUGUCCUUUGUAUCCUGGGACAAAAUGGAAUCUCAGAUGUUGUGAAAGUAACUCUGACUUCUAAAGAGGAGGCCCUCUUGAAGAAGAGUGCAGAUACACUCUGGGGCAUUCAGAAAGAGCUGCAGUUCUAAAGUCCUCAGAUGUCCUAGAGCUUCACUGUCCAGGCUGCAGCAGGGUUUCUAUGGAGAUCACACACUAUCUCCUCAUCUGAGC